rnacentral:rRNA from 1 species
AAAGGGGGGGGCAUUUUGUUUUAUUUGGAGGAAAGGGGAGAACCUUUCCCGGCCUUGACAUUUCGAGAAAUUUUCAGAGAUGGGUUGGUUCCUUUUGGGAACAUAAAACAAGGGGUGCAUGGGUGUUGUUAACUUGUGUUGUGAGAAGUUGGGUUUAAUUCCGCAAAGAGGGGAAACCUUUUUCUUUUUUUUCCGCAAGUUAUGGUGGGGAAUUUUAGGGAGACUGCGGGGGAAAAACGGGAGGAAGGUGGGGAUGAGUUAAGUUAUUAUGGCCCUUUAGGCCAGGGGUUACACAGUUGUUCA